rnacentral:rRNA from 1 species
AUCCCAGGAGCUUGCUCCUGGGUGAGAGUGGCGAACGGGUGAGUAAUGCGUGACCGACCUGCCCCAUACACCGGAAUAGCUCCUGGAAACGGGUGGUAAUGCCGGAUGCUCCAGUUGGAUGCAUGUCCUUCUGGGAAAGAUUCAUCGGUAUGGGAUGGGGUCGCGUCCUAUCAGCUUGAUGGCGGGGUAACGGCCCACCAUGGCUUCGACGGGUAGCCGGCCUGAGAGGGCGACCGGCCACAUUGGGACUGAGAUACGGCCCAGACUCCUACGGGAGGCAGCAGUGGGGAAUAUUGCACAAUGGGCGCAAGCCUGAUGCAGCGACGCCGCGUGCGGGAUGACGGCCUUCGGGUUGUAAACCGCUUUUGACUGGGAGCAAGCCCUUCGGGGUGAGUGUACCUUUCGAAUAAGCACCGGCUAACUACGUGCCAGCAGCCGCGGUAAUACGUAGGGUGCAAGCGUUAUCCGGAAUUAUUGGGCGUAAAGGGCUCGUAGGCGGUUCGUCGCGUCCGGUGUGAAAGUCCAUCGCUUAACGGUGGAUCCGCGCCGGGUACGGGCGGGCUUGAGUGCGGUAGGGGAGACUGGAAUUCCCGGUGUAACGGUGGAAUGUGUAGAUAUCGGGAAGAACACCAAUGGCGAAGGCAGGUCUCUGGGCCGUCACUGACGCUGAGGAGCGAAAGCGUGGGGAGCGAACAGGAUUAGAUACCCUGGUAGUCCACGCCGUAAACGGUGGAUGCUGGAUGUGGGGACCAUUCCACGGUCUCCGUGUCGGAGCCAACGCGUUAAGCAUCCCGCCUGGGGAGUACGGCCGCAAGGCUAAAACUCAAAGAAAUUGACGGGGGCCCGCACAAGCGGCGGA